UACGGAGGGAGCUAGCGUUGUUCGGAAUUACUGGGCGUAAAGCGCACGUAGGCGGCUUCUUAAGUCGGUGGUGAAAUCCUGGAGCUCAACUCCAGAACUGCCUUCGAUACUGGGAGCUCGGAGUCCGGGAGAGGUGAGUGGAACUGCGAGUGUAGAGGUGAAAUUCGUAGAUAUUCGACAAGAACACCAGUGGCGAAGGCGGCUCACUGGCCCGGUACUGACGCUGAGGUGCGAAAGCGUGGG
rnacentral:rRNA from 1 species